GUCACGUGGGCGCCACCGGAGGCGGAACUGGGGCUGCAGCGGAGACCCGCACCCUUUCGCCCCGCCGCGGCCAUGCGCCCCCCGCGGUUACACGCCUUGCCGCUAGCGCUCCUCGCCGCACUUCUUGCCGCGGCCUGCGCAGCGGAGCCUGAGACCCCGCACCUGGUGCGCGUGGACGCCACGCGCACACUGCGGCCCCUUCGGCCCUUCUGGAGAAGCACUGGCUUCUGCCCCCCAUUGCCACACGACCGGGCUGACCAGUAUGACCUCAGCUGGGACCAGCAGCUCAACCUCGCCUAUGUGGGCGCUGUACCCCACGGUGGCAUCGAACAGGUCCGGACACACUGGCUGCUGGACCUUGUCACAGCCAGCAGGGGGGCUGCCGGACAGGGCCUGAGGUACAAUUUCACUCACCUGGACGCCUACCUGGACCUCCUCCAGGAGAACCAGCUCCUCCCUGGGUUUGAGCUGAUGGGCAGCCCCUCCGGACACUUCACAGACUUUGAGGACAAGCAACAGGUGUUUGAGUGGAGGGACCUGGUCUCCAUGCUGGCCAGGAGAUAUAUCGGCAGGUAUGGCCUGGCACAGGUCUCCAAGUGGAACUUCGAGACGUGGAAUGAGCCGGACCACCAUGACUUUGACAAUGUGUCCAUGACAGAGCAAGGCUUUUUUAACUACUACGAUGCCUGCUCCGAGGGUCUGCACGAUGCAAGUCCCGAGCUGCAACUGGGUGGUCCCGGUGACUCCUUUCACCAGCCUCCGAGGUCCCCACUCAGUUGGGGCCUUCUGCAGCACUGUGCCCAUGGCACCAACUUCUUCACUGGCAAACGCAGUGUGCGGCUGGACUUCAUCUCCCUGCACAGGAAGGGUGCAGGCAGCUCAAUUGCCAUCCUGGAGCAGGAGGCCAGGGUCCUAGGCCAGAUCCAGCAGCUGUUCCCCGAGUUCAAGGACACCCCCAUUUACAAUGAUGAGGCAGACCCGCUGGUGGGCUGGUCGCUGCCGCAGCCCUGGAGGGCAGAUGUGACCUAUGCGGCCAUGGUGGUGAAGGUCAUUGCCCAGCACCAGAACCUGCUGAUUGCCAACGCCAGCGCUUCAAGCUACAGGCUCCUGAGCAACGACAACGCCUUUCUGAGCUACCACCCACACCCGUUCUCACAGCGCACGCUGACGGCGCGCUUCCAAGUCAACAACACGCAGCCACCGCAUGUACAGCUGCUGCGCAAGCCGGUGCUCACGGCCAUGGGUCUGCUGGCCCUGCUGGACGGAGAACAGCUCUGGGCCGAGGUGUCUCGGGCCAGCGUGGUGCUGGACAGCAACCACACGGUGGGUGUCCUGGCCAGCGCCCACCGACCUGAGGGCCCCAACGACGCCUGGCGCGCCACGGUGCUGCUCUACGCAAGUGACGACGUUCGCGCACACCCUGGCCGCAGGGUGCCGGUGACCGUGCGCCUGCGCGGGGUCCCGGCUGGGCCGGGGCUAGUCUACACCACAAGCUAUCUGGACAACCAGCUUUGCAGCCCGCAGCGCGAGUGGCAGCGUGCUGGCAGCCCAGCCUUCCCCUCGGCGGCGGAGUUCCGCCGAAUGCGCGCUGCAGAGGACCCAGUGGCCGCCGCACCGCAGCCCUUCCCCGCCGGUGGCCGCCUGACGCUGCGUCCUGAGCUCGCAUUGCCCUCGCUGCUGCUGGUGCACGUGUGUGCGCGUCCUACGGAGCCGCCAGGCCAGGUGACCCGGCUCCGUGUGCUGCCCCUGACCCGAGGGCAGCUGGCUCUGGUCUGGUCUGACGAGCGAGUAGGCACCAAGUGCGUGCCUGUGGACUUAUGAAAUCCAGUUCUCCCCGGACAGCAAGGUGUACACACUGGUCAGUAGAAGGCCAUCGACCUUCAACCUCUUCAUAUUCAGCCCAGAUACAGCUGUUGUCUCUGGCUCCUACCGUGUGCGAGCAGUGGACUAUUGGGGUCGGCCAGGCCCCUUCUCUGACCCUGUACCAUACUUGGAGAUCCCUGUUUCCUGAGAGCCACCAGCUCCAGGCUGACCAGUCCGGAGCCAAAAUGGGCCUGCUGACCACUGACUGGUCAGCUAAUUGUUGGCUUCAUCUGUUCCUACCCACUCCAUGCUUCUAAAGUGCCUUUCUGCCCAUCCA